rnacentral:rRNA from 1 species
UAGUCUGGUGCCAGCAGCCGCGGUAAUACGGGGGAUGCAAGCGUUAUCCGGAAUCAUUGGGCGUAAAGCGCCUGUAGGUUGUUUAAUAAGUCCGUUGUUAAAGACUAGGGCUUAACCCUAGGAAAGCGAUGGAAACUGAUAGACUUGAGUAUGACAGGGGUAGAGGGAAUUUCUAGUGUAGCGGUGAAAUGCGUAGAUAUUAGAAAGAACACCGGUGGCGAAAGCGCUCUACUGGACCAUUACUGACACUGAGAGGCGAAAGCUAGGGGAGCGAAAGGGAUUAGAUACCCCUGUAGUCCUAGCCGUAAACGAUGGAUACUAGAUGUUGUGCAAUUUGGACAGUAUCGUAGCUAACGCGUUAAGUAUCCCGCCUGGGGAGUACGCUCGCAAGGGUGAAACUCAAAGGAAUUGACGGGGGCCCGCACAAGCGGUGGAGCAUGUGGUUUAAUUCGAUGCAACGCGAAGAACCUUACCAGGGCUUGACAUACUACAGAUCUUUUUGAGAAAGAAGAGUGCCUUCGGGAAUGUAGAUACAGGUGG